AGUGAACGCUGGCGGCGUGCUUAACACAUGCAAGUCGAACGAGAACGGAAUAUAGCUUGCUAUAUUUGUCAGCUAAGUGGCGCACGGGUGAGUAAUGUAUAGAUAACCUGCCCUUAAGAAAGGAAUAACAGUUGGAAACGACUGCUAAUGCCCUAUAUGCCUUUAAUACAUAAGUAUGCAAGGGAAACGCUUUAGUGCUUAAGGAUGGGUCUGUAUGGUAUCAGCUUGUUGGUGAUGUAAUGGCUCACCAAGGCUAUGACGCCUAACUGGUUUGAGAGGAUGAGCAGUCACACGGGAACUGAGACACGGUCCAGACUCCUACGGGAGGCAGCAGCGGGGAAUAUUGCACAAUGGACGAAAGUCUGAUGCAGCAACGCCGCGUGGAGGAUGACACAUUUCGGUGCGUAAACUCCUUUUAUAUAGGAAGAUAAUGACGGUACUAUAUGAAUAAGCACCGGCUAACUCCGUGCCAGCCGCCGCGGUAAUAC
rnacentral:rRNA from 1 species